GGGAAUCUUGCGCAAUGGGCGAAAGCCUGACGCAGCCAUGCCGCGUGAAUGAUGAAGGUCUUAGGAUUGUAAAAUUCUUUCACCGGGGACGAUAAUGACGGUACCCGGAGAAGAAGCCCCGGCUAACUUCGUGCCAGCAGCCGCGGUAAUACGAAGGGGGCUAGCGUUGCUCGGAAUUACUGGGCGUAAAGGGCGCGUAGGCGGACAGUUAAGUUGGGGGUGAAAGCCCGGGGCUCAACCUCGGAACUGCCUUCAAUACUGGCUGUCUUGAGUACGGGAGAGGUGUGUGGAACUCCGAGUGUAGAGGUGAAAUUCGUAGAUAUUCGGAAGAACACCAGUGGCGAAGGCGACACACUGGCCCGUUACUGACGCUGAGGCGCGAAAGCGUGGGGAGCAAA
rnacentral:rRNA from 1 species